GAUGAAGAACGUAGCGAAAUGCGAUAAGUAAUGUGAAUUGCAGAAUUCAGUGAAUCAUCGAAUCUUUGAACGCACCUUGCGCCCUUUGGACAUUCCGAAGGGCAUGCCUGUUUGAGUAUCAUGAACACCUCAACUCUCACGGCUUGUCCGUGAUGAGCUUGGACUUUGGGGGUCUUGCCGGCCUGUGGUCGGCUCCUCUCAAAUGGAUCAGCUUGCCAGUGUUUGGUGGCAUCACAGGUGUGAUAACUAUCUGCGCUUGUGGUUAUACAUCAGAUAACCUUCAGUGAUAUGGAGGUUCGCUGGAGCUCACAAAUGUCUCUCCUUAGUGAGGACAGCUCUUUGAACGUUUGAUCUCAAAUCAGGUAGGACUACCCGCUGAACUUAAGCAUAUCAAUAAGCGGAGGA
rnacentral:misc_RNA from 1 species